rnacentral:rRNA from 1 species
UACAGAGGGUGCAAGCGUUGUUCGGAAUUACUGGGCGUAAAGCGCGUGUAGGCGGCCCUGCAAGUCGGAUGUGAAAUCCCACGGCUCAACCGUGGAAGUGCAUUCGAAACUGCAGGGCUAGAGUCCUGGAGAGGAAGGUGGAAUGCUUGGUGUAGAGGUGAAAUUCGUAGAUAUCAAGCGGAACACCGGUGGCGAAGGCGGC